ACCAAGGGUACGUAGGCAACUUGAAACUUCAAAACUUCAAGUACAGUCACAUCACCAACAAAAACACAAACACUUUGAAGAAAAAAAGCGAAUUCAAACUAUGAAUACUUUAUUUCUUUAAAGGAAUGAUUUGGUUACAAAGCCGUAUUACAAGGGUGAGCAUCACACCAACGUCACCACCGAGGAAAGUUGUGACCAAAAGACACUACACAGCAUAAACUCGCUGCAGUCUUUUGCACAACCACACACGAUAAAAGUGACACUUUGGGACAAGCUUCAAGUAGCAGUGGUAAAGAGCCCACGACAAGCAGUAAGGUCAAUGUGCACAACAAAGUCACCGCCGAGGGAAAACCGUGACCAAAAGGCAUUACACAGCAAAAUCCCGCUGCAGUCUUUUGCACAACACCACAUGGUAAAAAGUGGCGCACUGCAACAAGCACCAGGCAAAGAGUACAGUUGCACCCACAUCUUGCUCACUCCGUCACCAAUUCCAAAUUCACAAGAAGCUGCCACCAAUUGUGAACAUGGGUAAUCCGUCAAAAGGCAGCAAGGAAAUUUGUGAAUGCACUUUUUGCAGAGGAAGAGAAAGAAGACUUGGCUUUUCUUAUUUUCACAAAAGCAAAGAAAAAGGUGAAAGUUCCACCAUCGCAGCCAUCAGAAGACACGGCUACUGCAGCAAUCACUACCGCCAGUGUUAACCUCCCCAGGGACAAUGCAGCAGUUCCUCCACUUCAGGUUUGACACCUUGCACUACCUCGAGCUCGUCAUUCUGGCCACCAUGAUCAAAAUCAACGAAGAGCUUCAUUGACCGCUGUCAAACGACUAGCCGGUCUUCAAACUCGACGCCUUACACUCUGCC